rnacentral:lncRNA from 1 species
GACAUAUCCAUUGCAGUGCCAAAUAAAGAAAGUUUUCCGAGAAUUAACAGCAGGACAAUGGUCCGCUUGUUGUAUAUAAUAAAUAUCACACUGGUGUUGUAUAUGUGUAGCCGGUGCUAGAAUUUACAUAUGCAUGCUCCACAACCUAUGUUCGUACAAACACAGAUCAUACCGAAGGAAAAAUAUGCUCUGGUCGGGAAGCAGAGUCCUGGACAAAAGUGAAGUUCACAAAAGACAAUCAUACAUAGGCCAUUGUUUUAACUCGUAGUUUAGGCCUUGCCAGACUCCUCGCAACCCGGUGGCCUGAAUGCGAUGAAGCUGACGCACUGCACCUGGCGCAGGUUGUCGAAGCCGAUGACGCGGACAUAGGCGUCAGGGUACUCCUUCUUGACCUCCUCCACCUCGUUGAGCACCUGCGUGGCGUCGGUGCACCCGAACAUAGGCAGCUUCCACAUUGUCCAGUAUCGACCGUCGUAGUACCCGGAGGAGCUGUUGUGCUCACGGAAGACGAAGCCAACCUUGCUGAACUCGAGGCAGGGCACCCACUUGGAGCGGAUCAGGUAGUCGACCUGCUUCAGGAGGGCCUCCGUGGAGAGGGGUGGCAAGUAAGACAGGGUCUCGAACUUCUUGAUGCCCUCAAUCGGCCACACCUGAAUGAAUGGAAAUUGUGGAAUGCACACAACUGCUUAACACUUGGUGCUAGUAAAUUGUACGUACAGAGGAAGAAACUCAUAUCAGUUUUGUGCCUCGAGUCUCGACAUACCUGCAUGCACCUGAUCCUUCCGCCAUUGCUGACGCGGCCGAGGCUGCCGCUGGAGCGGCGGCUGACGGGGAGACCGGCUGUGGACUUGAGCCCCUGGAAGGGUGCGACGGUGGUAGCCGACGAAGCCAUCACGGCGGGGGCCAUGGUAUUGUAUUAUCGGAGGAGAGGAGGAUGCCGGCUACAGGUGAGGCCACCAUUGCCGGGUCACUACGGUAUAUAUAGCCAGACACUUAGCGUCGUUUCUUUGGUACAGAUGUGGUUGGGGUGGCUGACGUUCUCUGGUUGCCUCGUUUCCUUAUCUUCUCCGGAUCAGUGGAAGAAGCAUGGCCGUCGGAUGCGUUGUGUGUGCUGGAAAUUUCAGUCCUUCAUGUCAUUGGCUGGCUGCCACACAACCUUUUUCCAGCUUUUCUUGUUUUUGGUUUCAUUUAAAGCCAAAAGUUUCUUGAGUACAAAUUUUCUGAGAUGCGACUUGAGUGGUGCGGGCAAAAUAUUUUACAUUUUAUCAUAAGAUCUGAUGGCUCACUCUCUCGAAAGUAUGCCCAUAGGCGUAGAGUGUGCGUGUGUGCAUUUAUAGGGGUUGUUGUACAUGUGUGUAUGUGAACGUCUACAUUUGUACACCGUUUCUCAAAAUAAAAUAUAUGUUUUGUUGGUACAAUUAAUUGAACUAGCAUAGUAACCGUCCACACGCAGAACAAGUUCUUUCCCCUCUCGCAAGGCAACUAUUGAAAGCUUUCCAGCCCUCUAUAUCCGCCAGUGAGCCCGUGGAUCCGCCUCCCCUCUGCCGGAAGGGGGAUUCCUGGUGCCUCAGCUCUGGCUAGUAGAUAAGUAGGGUUUUUAGUCCUCAUAGGUGAGGCUCUUGGACGGAUGGCAGCCCUUCUUCUUCGAGCCAAUCUUUCGGGAUCCGAUCCUCUUCAAGUUCCUCUGUCUAGGGAGCUCCGACGUAGAUUCUUGCCAGCUCCUCAGGCGGCGAGGUUAGGAUUUCUCGUCAUGCGUAUGCACAAUGAAAUUUGUGUCAGGUUCUUUAGAUCGAUUCAGGGAUUCAACGGCGGCGACUGCGGCUCCAGAGCACUAGUCCUUAGGGGCACGUGCAUGAAGACUUCCUGGCUGUCAUCGACAAGGUCAAGGUAGCUCUAGAGUGGGAGCAACGACAACGGUGCUUUAGUGGCUCGUCUCUAUGCGUAGGAACGAAAAGAAAGCCCUAUAUCUCGACUUUUUGACAACUCUCUGUGACAAUGGGAUUGAGCUACUCCAUACCUUGUUUUAAACACUACUGGGUAGGAACGAAAAGCUCUAUAUCUCAACUAUUAACACAUAUGGCUAAAUCUGUACCUUGAAUUAUAGGAUAUGCCAAUCGGUCAGUGGUGGGCGGUCUCUCACAUACAUUGUCUCUCAAGUAGGGCUGCAAAUGAGACGAGUUCGAGCGAGUUGGACUUGACUCAGCUCAACUCAUAUUAAAAUUCGAGCAAGCUCAAACUGAGUGAAGCUCAAGGUCAAGCUGUAGAACAUGACUCAUGCUCAACUUGUAACGAUCUCGAGUCGAUCUCGAGCUAGUUUCGAGUUAAAUGAGAUGAUAAAAUUUAUAAAUUUUAUGACCAUUAUUCCAACUAGAUAAGCACAACAUGACAUAAAAAAGCACAAAAAAUAUUAUUCCAAUCAGAACAAUGAUAAUACAAUUUUCUUUUGAAAUGAUACAAAUUUUGUUAGAAGUAGUUUAACUUAUUCUAUCACAACCGAAAGUCUAGUAUCAACGUAAGAUAACGAUUCACGACAUAUAUAUAAUUGCGAAAACGAAGGUGCAUAUGCUGGGAACUUUUGCUAGAAACAACAAAAUAUUUAACACAUGGUCGACCACAUACCAUAAUAAGGCCUAAAUUUUCUCUACAACUAAUUAAGCUUCGAUGUUUGUUUGUAAAUGAAAUGGAGAAAAAUCCUGGAUGGCACAUAUGGUAUUAAAUUAUCAUAUUUUCAUUUAUUAUAUGGCAUGAUCAUUUAACAUAAUGAUAUUAUGCCGAGCUAUCGAGCUAAAACCGAGCGAGCCAGUAUUGGCUCAAGAUCGGCCCGUUUCUCGACUGAGCUAUAGAAAGUGUUUGUACUCAACUCGUUUCUUUUCAAGUCGAGUCAAAAAUCGAGUCGAUCUCGAGCCGCUCACGAGCCUCAAGCUUUUCUUACAGCCCUACUCUCAAGCAGUGUCAUGUUGAGACAACUCAAUCAUCCUACUUUCCAUCCCAUAUGAGCGGCAGAUAACGGAAAGACAUUAAUAUCACAAGGCCUGGACCGGAGGCAAUAAGUUGUAUGGACAACCAUGAAGCCUAGAAUAAUUAUGUUCCUCUCAUGAUAUCGAUGCCCUGGCACCUGGAGGUCUCUCGAUUUGCGCCUCGAGUUGAACUUCUCCAACUACACCAAUUGAUCGGAUGGCUCCAAUCACUAAAUUACCGCAAGAGUAAAUAAUACCAUGAAGAGGAAAAACAGGAAUAGACGAUGCAUAUCAAAUAACCGCUUACUAGCUGACCGACCCAUAGCCAACGAUUACUCAAAUAACAUCACAUAUAAAAGGGUUUAAGAGUUGUUACAACCCAUUACGGAGACUGUGAUGGGGGACGAGAAGGGGUAUGGGUGAGGGCGGAGUGGCGACGGCGGCGCUUCUCCAGCAUUGCCUCCUUCAAGGUUGCAAUGAUGGAGAUGGAGGCUUGGCACAGCCCUCAAGUGUUUUUUUAUGUCGAUGGCAGCUGGACGUAUGGAUCGUGUCCCCGAGUGGCUAGGGUUGGAGGUGUAUUUAUAAGAACUCUCCCAAAGCCUCCUUCGUUGAUGUAGCAUCUCUACUUUGAUCCAAGUGCUCUACGUGAGCCAAAUAUUUCCCAAAACCUCCCUUGAUGGCAAAGAAAGUAGUAGGAACGAACCGGGACAAAAUCCUCAAAGAAUCCCCGUCUGAAAGGGCAACUUUCGGGCUUGUCUAGGCGUAAUACGAGCACUGGUACAUCCUUUUUUUUAUGUAUCAAAGGUCGUUGAACGCUUUGGACUCUUUGGUAAAACCGCCGUAACUUUUACAUCCGGACUCUAUUUUUGACGUUCAUGUGCUCGUUGGAAUCACGAUAACGGCGCCGAUGCACCUGUGGUAUUACAUAUUGAUUUUGAGCACUUUGGAAAACAACUUUUUUCACUCUCCGAAAUGCCCAAGUCUGGUGUCUCGAUGUCCUUCGUUUGGAUCCUUUUCAUUGUGUUAAGUGCGUGAGAGUUCCACAUUACGUACAAACACACAAAGAAAAAUAAUACUAAUAAGAAUAAAUAUUAUGCAAUGCUCGCGCUGAAAAUGUUAAAUACUGCCAUACUGGAGAUCAUGCAUAUGGACAUGCAAUUGUGGCUCAAUGGCACAUGCUAUACGGAGAUAAUAGGCGACAAAUGAGCUCUAAACGUGUGUAAAAAUAGGUGCCAUCACUUGGAUCAACGAGAUAUUAUCUUGUGGAACACCUUCCAUCCUUUUGAAGGGUGUGCCUAGUAGGUAAUUCCAAUGAAAACAUGGGAUCCACCAGGGUGACCCACCGUUACCACUUCUAUUUUUCUUGGCAGUGGAUUUACUUCAGUCUAUCCUCAGUGACAUGUAUCAUCGUGGGGAGCUCUUUUUUUCAACCCAUCUCAUGAUCUAGACUCUCCAAUUGUGCAGUAUGUUAAUGAUAUGUUGUUGAUUAUGCUGGAUAUUGAUUCUCAGCUUAUUGACCUAAAAGAAAUGUUACAACUUUUGUCUAAAUCCACUUGCUUGAAAGUGAUUUUUUGUAAAUCCUCCAUGGUUCUUAUAAAUGUGAUUGACGAUGAAGCUUCUCAUUGUCCAGUUUGUUUGAGUGUUAACAGGGUAAGAUGCCUUUCACUUACCUGGUUUACCUAUGGUUAACACUAGGCCCAAGAUCUAGGACUUAAUGCCUUUGGUUGAUAUAAUGAAAAUGAAAUUGGCAGCUAGCUCUUCUAUGCUCUCACAAGGUGCUAAAUUGAAACUUUUGAGGUCUGCCAUUUCAUCUAUGCCGAUAUACUAUCUUUGUAGUCUCUAGACUCCCCCUGGAAUUAAACAACUGGAGAGAAUUGAGUAGAAUAUCUCUGGCGUGGCAAUGCUGAUAGCUCAAAUCAACCAUUCGUGAUAUGUCAUCUGGUAUGUAAACCAAAGGAGAAUGGUGGUAUCGGUAUCAUUAACCGUCAUAUUCAAGACCAACCUUUGCUUACAAAACACUUGCGCAAAUUUCAUAAUAAAGCUCAUAUUCCAUGGGUAACUUUGAUAUAGAUUUCUUACUAUCAUGGAGUCAUACCCGACGCAACAGUCCUUUGUGGCUCUUUCUGAUGGAGGGAUAUUUUGGAACUUAACGAUCAGUACAUGGCAAUCUCUUCAAUCAAAGUUAAUAUUGGCAACUUUGCCUUGUUCUUGUCUGAUGCUUGGUUGAUUGAGGGAUUUUCUCUACCUCUUCGACAUCGUUUGGAUAGGCUCUUUUCAUUGCCUUGGAUGACAAAAUUUCUGUUAAAGAUUUUAAAGAAACCCCUGAUCGGGCCACUCUUUUGCACCAGCCAUUUUUUGCUGAGGCGAUGGAUGAAUCGCAACCUCUGGAUGGUUGGUUACACAGCCUUCAGCGAAACCAAACCCUGCCUGAUGUUUGUUCUUGGUAAGGAGGGUCAUUUUCCGCCAAAAUCUUCUACUGCAUGAUGCACAAGCAUAUGCCCACCGAUGAACCUUGCAAAUGGAUAUGACAGAGCACCAUGAAGAUCAAGAUCUUUGCUUAGAUCCUAUUAUUUUAUCAGUUGAACGCUCGGAACAUGCUCCUUAGAAGGCACUGACAUUCUCCUCGGGAUGAAACCCAUUGUGCUCACAUGAGCAAAGAGACCACUUGCUUUUCUCCUAUAAUUUUAGUCAAAGGAUUUGGACUUAUUUACAGAUUGAUUGGAGCCCCAGACGAAACACUAGACAAUGUAUUGAUGCUGCAUGUAGACGAUUUGGACACCCUUUCUUCUUUGAAGUGGUGUUCUCUUGGAACUAAUAUUUGUAUUAUUACAAAUGGCAAGAUCUUCACAGGGGAGAGGCCAUCCUUUCCUGCUUGGUGUUGUAAAUUUGUACAUGACAUCUCUUCUUGUAGAUAGAGUUAAUGCUUACCAAAGCUCCUGGAUUGGAUUAGUAAUCUCCAUUAGAUAAAUAGGUAGGUAGGAAAGUGUUGUUUUUCCUUUUUUCUUGGUUCCCUUUGUAAACAUUUUUUGCUUGCUUUUGUUUUGAUGGAAUAAAGGACUGGAGCUGUUGCUCCAUACUAGUUACAAAAAUCCGAGUUUUUUCUUGAUUUUUCACUAGUAUGAUUACACUCCUUCACAAAGGAGCUCAUGCAAUGCAUGUUGGAGAUUUAUUUCAAUAGUUCCAUAACAUGUUUUGAAUGCUGUUGCUAUCUAGUUCAGUUAGAUGCUUAUUGUCCAGACCAACAAAAGUUCUUUAGUAAGGGUCUCUACAAGAAUAUGUUUCAUCCUAGUCUACUAGCAAAAACCGAUGUAGAUGCUGGUAGUGACAUGGAAAAGAAACCAUAAUCUUUUUGUAUUGAUAAGUAAAGAAACUGAAAUUUGCAACUGCAAAUCAGGGGAUCUUAAUGUCAAAUACUGAAUGCUUCCACAACUAGUUGUGAGACAUAUUCAUUGCAGUGCCAAAUAAAGAAACUUUUCCUGAAUUAAUAACAGCAAGACAAUGGUCCGCGUGUUUGUAUAUAAUAAAUAUCACACAGGUUUUGUAUAUGUGUAGCCGGUUCUAGAAUUUACAUAUGCAUGCUCGAGAACCUAUGUUCGUACAUACACACACAGACCAUAUAGAAUGAAAAAUAUGCUCUGGUCGUCCAGCAGAGUGGUGGACAAAAGUUAAGUUCACAAAAGACCUUCAUACAUAGGCCAUUGUUUCAACUCGUAGUUUAGGCCUUGCCAGACUCCUCGCAACCCGGUGGCCUGAAGGCGAUGAAGCUGACGCACUGCACCUGGCGCAGGUUGUCGAAGCCGAUGACGCGGACAUAGGCGUCAGGGUACUCCUUCUUGACCUCCUCCACCUCGUUGAGCACCUGUGUGGCGUCGGUGCACCCGAACAUAGGCAGCUUCCACAUUGUCCAGUAUCGACCAUCGUAGUACCCGGGGGAGCUGUUGUGCUCACGGAAAACGAAGCCAACCUUGCUGAACUCGAGGCAGGGCACCCACUUGGAGCGGAUCAAGUAGUCGACCUGCUUCAGGAGGGCCUCCGUGGAGAGGGGUGGCAAGUAAGACAGGGUCUCGAACUUCUUGAUGCCCUCAAUCGGCCACACCUGAAUGAAUAGAAUGCGCAGAUGCUCAAUACUUGGUGCUAAGUAAAUUAAUUGUACCAACAAUUCUAGAAAAAUCUGUUGAUGAGCAAAAAAUUGCUCCUGAUGGACAGGUCUCAUAUGCAUUGUUCGUUUGUCCACAAUGAAGAAAGCUUAAGGGUAGCCCUUAAACUGAUGGGCACUCUGAAGGUACUAAGAUAAUUUUAUCUAGUCCAUGCUGCAAUAAAAAGUAUUUCCAUUCACUAAGUUAUGAGUUGAUUGCUUUUACAUACGGAUCCCAGCUUAGGGACAAGGUUGAAUGAGCAUCCAAAGCCAAAUGGUUUCCAUAGGCAACAAAACAAACAGAUAAUAAGGUUUCGGAAUAAUCUGUUGACCAAAUUAUGUUAUAAAUUGGGGAUGUUCUGCAAGUGAAUUACUUGUACUGCCAAAGAAACUCAUGUCAGUUUAAUUAGUGACUGACAUACCUGCAUGCACCUGAUCCUUCCGCCGUUGCUGACGCUGCCGAGGCCGGCGCUGCUGGAGCGGCGGCUGACGGGCAGGCCCGCGGUGGACUUGAGACCCUGGAAGGGUGCGACGGAGGUGGCCGAGGAAGCCAUCACAGUGGGGGCCAUGGUGUUGGAGGAGGGAAGGUGGCAGGCUAAGCUUGAGGCCCCCAUUGCUGGGUCACCACGGUAUAUAUAGCCAUAUAUGGCCAGCUCCUAUCUUUAAUCAAGAUGUGGAAGGGGUGGCUGGCGUUCGUUGGUUGCCUGGUUUCCUUAUCUCUCCGGAUUAGUGUAAGAGGCAUGGCCGUUGGAUGAGUUGUGUGUGCCGAAAAUUUCAGUCGUCCAUGCCAUUGUGUGAUUGCCACAAACCCUUUUUCCAGCCUUGCAUGUACUGUAUUAUUCUUUUCGUUUUAUUUUGCUAAAGGUAACGCUUGAAAGGUGCAGGAAGAACUUCCUUUGCUGAUUUGCGAUUUAAGUUGAGUGGCACAGGCAUAACGAAUGUUAUAGUACAUCCUUUAUCCACUUCUAUAAUACAAACUUGUCAAUCAAUUAUGCUUGCUUGUAACCUUUGGCGCUUCAUUUUAUAAAAUUUUAUACAGGUAACGUACACAUUUGCUGCAUGUGUGAUGUGUGUCAUCAUGACCUUUAUGUCUUUUAUUCACAAUUAUUCAUUGGAACACAAAAGUGUUGUACUGUUUUCUACGCCUAAUCAUUUACAUGCCCUGGAGGAUUUUUAGUAUUGGAAAUGCUAUUUAAUUGGGUGUCCAAGCAAGGUAGAACUUUGUUCUAAUCCACGAGCAAAAGUUUUAGAUCCCUCUGUUGUCCAUUUACUCAGUUCGUGUCGGCCCCAGUGAACUCAUAAAUUACAUAUGGUGAGUCCAUCAUGAUUUUGUAUCAUCGUUGAAUCUAGCCCACAAAAAAGGCAGAUGUAUAUUCAUUCAUUUCAUGGUGAUGAAGCAACCUGCAAAAUGAUGCGAUCGACCAUGACCACUCAGUGAUAUGGCAAUCAUGUAGACGGACAUUGUGAUCAUCUAGUCAUUUAAGAUAGAUGUCGUGAUCUUCUUGUGUGACCGUCUCAUAGAUUUGAGCUGCAAAUCGAAUCUUAUAUUCUUCCAAAAAAAAUUCUGAAUUUCCUGCAUGUAAGAUGAUAAAGCUGAGUUUGUAAUUAAUUAUUUUUUGUGAAUCCUUAAUGAUAAUUAACACGACCCAGAUAUUACAAAAUAUCCAUAAUUAUCAUGACUGAAUCAAUAAAUUACUAUUGCAGAAUGAACCUUCCAUAGGCCCCUCCACUUGGGCCCGCCGGUGGAGAGAUUCAUCACUCAUGGGCCACAAAACGCCAGCCAUGCAGGAGGACCUUCACUAACGGGCCCUUAAGUUGGCAUCAAUGGAGGGUCACCCAUGGGGCCCAUAGAUCCAACUGAAUGGACGGUCCAUCUCUACUGACGGUCGUACCACACCACUCGUCAAUGUUGGGUGGCCCGUCGGUGCUGAAUUAAGGUAUUUCUAUCUACUGGAGACGAAGUGGCCUUAUAUGCGCUUUCUCUUUUCUCCUAAACAAAACCAUGCCGCCGCCCCCAAUCCCUUCAUCCCCAACAUCAUCACCACCCUAUCCAAUGUUUUCGUCUCCUUUCAUGUGUGCCCCCUCCUUCUCCCACAUUGAUCUGGUCCAACGCUACCGUCUCAUCCCGCGAUUAUCGUCAUCUACUCUUCGGUUACUCGUGACGGCGCGGGUUGUGGCUUCCCGCUUGCUCUCUCGUAAGAAUGGUUGGGUAAACCCCAAGUGUAAGGAUGAAGUAACCUAGUAAUAAGUAUUGUCCUCAAUACGUUUCUCAAACCAGUAGGAAUUUCUUCUACAACCCAAAUCCUCGGUACCUGCACACCAAACACAAAACAAUCUUGCCCCAACGUUUCAAGAAGGUUGUCAAUCUUCUUGUCCUACUAGUUACAAGGAUUAGUUGUUAGUUGAAAGCAAAUAUCGGUUGCUAAGUAGCCUUAGUGCGGUUCGCACCUUUAGACCUGCCAUGGCACUGUCAACACUAUACUCGCCAUGCUUAGGGUUCACACUUUUUAUAUACACCAAGAUCAGCCUAGGUGCUUCGUGUCGUACUAGCACUAAUCCAGCCAUCAAUAUAAAGGAAAUGCUACCCAUAGUUCCAAAGCUUAGUUAUUCAAAUAUGAGUCAGAUAUGGUACUAAUAUUAGUUUAAAAAAGGCACAUGUAGUUGGUCAGCCAAUGUUCCUUCUUGAGUUUCAAAAUACACGUACGCCACUUAAAGAGAGACAUGAGUGAAUAGUAUUUCUUUGUGCCAUCUUCUCCAUCAUGGAUGGGCAACGAACAUUGCGUUGUAUAGAAAGAAGAGUUAUAUCCACCUUUUACAUAGAUUAUGAUUUGCCUAAUUUCGAAGCUUAUUUGUUCAAAUAUGAGUUUGAUAUGGUACUGAUAUUAAUUAAACAAACACACAUUUAAUUGUCAGCUAAUGUUCCUACUUCAGUUUUGAAAUGCAUGUCCGCCCCUUAUAGAGAGACAGAAGAGGUUUGUAUUUCUCCAGGCGCUCUGGUCAUCAUGGUUGAGGGAUGAACUUUGUAUAUCGUAUAGGUUGAAGCUAUCAUCUGCCAACAAUCAUCACUUUUGGAGAUCUCAACAGGGAGCCUUUUUUAAGUAGUAGGGUCAUAUUAUAUUAAUGCACGCACCAAAUUACAACACACAUAGCAUCCCUCGGCAGACUUCUAGAGAUAGUACGCAUGGGUCUAUAAGGACGCACUAUUGGGGUAGAAUCCGCAAUGCAUUUGUGACACCCCGAUUGAGAGAACCGGAGGUCCUCGUGUUCCAGCCCAGAGAUCCAUGUCUUCUGGAACAUGACUAUAACUUGGUACAUGUAGACCAAAAUAAAUAAGUACUUAUGUACAAUAGCGUCUUAAUAGUACAAUCCUCUUGCACAGCAGGUGGACACGUCUAAGUGUCAGAAGCUCAAGGGCUUUAUUCUAUGAGUGACUUAAGGAAGUACUAAAGACGGAAAUAAUACUAAUGACACAACGGAAGACGGGGUACCGGCGGGGCUCCAAUCCAAAGAGACACUGCUGGGACACCAUCUAGUCCAGGUACAUGAACUCUUCGGGAAACUCUUCUAUUGGCUCUCCAGUAUCUGGAAUGAUAAGGCAGGUGAGUACUUUGAAUGUACUCACAAGCCCACAAAUAAUCCAAAGCAAGCAAGAACAGAACAAAUAAACAUAGCAACGAAGUAAAGAUUAGUGAAGCUACUACUAUCAAGACUACUCCAUAAACUUCUCAUUUGCUUGUUUAACGUCCACUGGACCUCUUCCUGGUGAAGGAAAUAUGCCCUAGAGGCAAUAAUAAAGUUAUUAUUUAUUUCCUUAUAUCAUGAUAAAUAUUUAUUAUUCAUGCUAGAAUUGUAUUAACCGGAAACAUAAUACAUGUGUGAAUAUAUAGACAAACAGAGUGUCACUAGUAUGCCUCUACUUGACUAGCUCGUUAAUCAAAGAUGGUUAUGUUUCCUAGCCAUAGACAUAAGUUGUCAUUUGAUUAACGAGAUCACCUCAUUAGGAGAAUGACGUGAUUGACUUGACCCAUUCCGUUAGCUUAGCACCCGAUCGUUUAGUAUGUUGCUAUUGCUUUCUUCAUGACCUAUACAUGUUCCUCUGACUAUGAGAUUAUGCAACUCCCGUUUACCGGAGGAACACUUUGUGUGCUACCAAACGUCACAAUGUAAAUGGGUGAUUAUAAAGGUGCUCUACAGGUGUCUCCAAAGGUACUUGUUGGGUUGGCGUAUUUCGAGUUUAGGAUUUGUCACUCCGAUUGUCGGAGAGGUAUCUCUGGGCCCACUCGGUAAUGCACAUCACUAUAAGCCUUGCAAGCAUUGUGACUAAUAAGUUAGUUGCGGGAUGAUGUGUUACGGAACGAGUAAAGAGACUUGCCGGUAACGAGAUUGAACUAGGUAUCGAGAUACCGACGAUCGAAUCUCGGGCAAGUAACAUACUGAUGACAAAGGGAACAACGUAUGUUGUUAUACGGUCUGACCGAUAAAGAUCUUCGUAGAAUAUGUGGGAGCCAAUAUGGGCAUCCAGGUCCCGCUAUUGGUUAUUGACCGAAGACGUGUCUCGGUCAUGUCUACAUAGUUCUCGAACCCGUAGGGUCCGCACGCUUAAAGUUACGAUGACAGUUUUAUUAUGAGUUUAUGUAUGUUGAUGCACCGAAGGAGUUCGGAGUCCCGGAUGAGAUCGGGGACAUGACGAGGAGUCUCGAAAUGGUCGAGACGUAAAGAUCGAUAUAUUGGACGACUAUAUUCGGACUUCGGAAAGGUUCUGAGUGAUUCGGGUAUUUUUCGGAGUACCGGAGAGUUACGGGAAUACGUAUUGGGCCUUAUUGGGCCAUACGGGAAAGAAGAAAAAGGGCCUCAAGGGUGGCCGCACCCCUCCCCUUGGUCUGGUCCGAAUUGGACUAGGGAAGCGGGGCGCCCCCUUCCUUCCUUCUCUUUUUCCCUUCCUCUUUUCCUAUUCCAUAUGGGAGGUGGAAUCCUACUAGGACUAGGGAGUCCUAGUAGGACUCCACACUUGGUGCGCCCCCUCCUAGGGCCGGCCUCCUCCUCCCUUGCUCCUUUAUAUACGGGGGCAGGGGGGCACCCCAGAGACACAACAAUUGAUCCUUGAGAUCUUUUAGCCGUGUGCGGUGCCCCCCUCCACCAAAUUACACCUCGAUAAUAUCAUUGCGGAGCUUAGGCAAAGCCCUGCGUCGGUAGAACAUCAUCAUCGUCACCACGCCGUCGUGCUGACGAAACUCUCCCUCAACACUCGGCUGGAUCGGAGUUCGAGGGACGUCAUCGAGCUGAACGUGUGCAGAACUCGGAGGUGCCGUGCGUUUGGUACUUGAUCGGUCGGAUCGUGAAGACGUACGACUACAUCAACCACGUUGUGAUAACGCUUCCGCUGUCGGUCUACGAGGGUACGUGGACAACACUCUCCCCUCUCGUUGCUAUGCAUCGCCAUGAUCUUGCGUGGGCGUAGGAAUUUUUUUGAAAUUACUACGUUCCCCAACAGUGGCAUCCGAGCCUGGUUUUAUGCGUUGAUGCUAUGCACGAGUAGAACACAAGUGAGUUGUGGGCGAUAUAAGUCAUACUGCUUACCAGCAUGUCAUACUUUGGUUCAGCGGUAUUGUGAGAUGAAGCGGCCCGGACCGACAUUACGCGUACGCUUACGCGAGACUAGUUUCACCGUUCGGAGCACUCGUUGCUUAAAGGUGACUGGCGGGUGUCUGUCUCUCUCACUUUAGUUGAACCGAGUGUGGCUACGCCCGGUCCUUGCGAAGGUUAAAACAGCACCAACUUGACAAACUAUCGUUGUGGUUUUGAUGCGUAGGUAAGAACGGUUCUUGCUAAGCCCGUAGCAGCCACGUAAAACUUGCAACAACAAAGUAGAGGACGUCUAACUUGUUUUUGCAGGGCAUGUUGUGAUGUGAUAUGGUCAAGACAUGAUGUGAUAUAAUGUGUUGUAUGAGAUGAUCAUGUUUUGUAACCGAGUUAUCGGCAACUGGCAGGAGCCAUAUGGUUGUCGCUUUAUUGUAUGAGAUGCAAUCGCCAUGUAAUAGUUUUACUUUAUCACUAAACGGUAGCGAUAGUCGUAAAAGCAAUAAGUUGGCGAGACGACAACGAUGCUACGAUGGAGAUCAAGGUGUCGCGCCGGUGACGAUGGUGAUCAUGACGGUGCUUCGGAGAUGGAUAUCACAAGCACGGUGCUUCGGAGAUGGAGAUCACAAGCACAAGAUGAUGAUGGCCAUAUCAUAUCACUUAUAUUGAUUGCAUGUGAUGUUAAUCCUUUAUGCAUCUUAUCUUGCUUUGAUUGACGGUAGCAUUAUAAGAUGAUCUCUCACUAAAAUUUCAAGAUAAAAGUGUUCUCCCUGAGUAUGCACCGUUGCAAAAGUUCUUCGUGCUGAGACACCACGUGUUAAUCGGGUGUGAUAGGCUCUACGUUCAAAUACAACGGGUGCAAAACAGUUGCACACGCGGAAUACUCAGGUUAAACUUGACGAGCCUAGCAUAUACAGAUAUGGCCUCGGAACACAGAGACCGAAAGGUCGAGCGUGAAUCAUAUAGUAGAUAUGAUCAACGUAGUGAUGUUCACCAUUGAAACUACUCCAUCUCACGUGUUAAUCGGAUAUGGUUUAGUUGCUUUGGAUCACGUAAUCACUUAGAUGAUUAGAGAGAUGUCUAUCUAAGUGGGAGUUCUUAAGUAAUAUGAUUAAUUGAACUUAAAUUUAUCAUGAACUUAGUCCUGAUAGUAUUUUGCAAAUUAUGUUGUAGAUCAAUAGCUCGCGUUGUUGCUUCCCUGUGUUUAUUUUUUGUUCCUAGAGAAAAAUUAUGUUGAAAGAUGUUAGUAGCAAAGAUGCGGAUUGGAUCCGUGAUCUGAGGAUUAUCCUCAUUGCUGCACAGAAAAAUUAUGUCCUUGAUGCACCGCUAGGUGACAGACCUAUUGCAGGAGCAGAUGCAGACGUUAUGAACGUUUGGCUAGCUCAAUAUGAUGACUACUUGAUAGUUUAGUGCACCAUGCUUAACGACUUAGAAUCGGGACUUCAAAGACGUUUUGAACGUCAUGGACCAUAUGAGAUGUUCCAGGAGUUGAAGUUAAUAUUUCAAGCAAAUACCCGAGUUGAGAGAUAUGAAAUCUCCAACAAGUUCUAUAGCAAAAAGAUGGAGGAGAAUCGCUCAACUAGUGAGCAUGUGCUCAGAUUGUCUGGGUACUACAAUCGCUUGAAUCAAGUGGGAGUUUAUCUUCCAGAUAAAAUAGUGAUUGACAGAAUUCUCUAGUCACCAUCACCAAGUUAGUAGAACUUCGUGAUGAACUAUGGUAUGCAAGGGAUGACGAAAGUAAUUCCCGAGCUCUUCGUGAUGCUGAAAUCGAUGAAGGUAGAAAUCAAGAAAAACAUCAAGUGUUGAUGGUUGACGAGACCACUUCAAGUGUUGAUGGUUGACGAGACCGCUAGUUUCAAGAAAAGGGCAAAGGGAAAAAGGGGAACUUCAAAAAGAACGGCAAGCAAGUUGCUGCUCAAGUGAAGAAGCCUAAGUCUGGUCCUAAGCCUGAGACUAAGUACUUCUACUGCAAAGGGACUGGUCACUGGAAGCGGAACUACCCCAACUAUUUGGUGGAUAAGAAGGAUGGCAAAGUGAACAAAGGUAUAUUUGAUAUACAGAUUAUUGAUGUGUACUUUACUAGUGUUUAUAGCAAUCCCUCGGUAAUUGAUACUGGUUCAAUUGCUAAGAGUAGUAACUCGAAACGGGAGUUGCAGAAUAAACAGAGACUAGUAAAAGUGAACAAAGGUAUAUUUGAUAUACAGAUUAUUGAUGUGUACUUUACUAGUGUUUAUAGCAACCCCUCGGUAAUUGAUACUGGUUCAGUUGCUAAAGAGUAGUAACUCGAAAACGGGAGUUGCAGAAUAAACAGAGACUAGUAAAAGGCGAGGUGACGAUGUGUGUUGGAAGUAGUUCCAAGAUUGAUAUGAUCAUCAUCGCACACUCCCUGUACUUUUGGGAUUAGUGUUGACACUAAAUAAGUGUUAUUUGGUGUUUGCGUUGAGCAUGAAUAUGAUCUGAUCAUGUUUAUUGCAAUACGGUUAUUCAUUUAAGUUAGAGAACAAUUGUUGUUCUGUUUACAUGAAUAAAACCUUUAUGGUCAUACACACCAACGAAAAUGGUUUGUUGGAUCUCGAUCGUAGUGAUACACAUAUUCAUAAUAUUGAAGCCAAAAGAUGCAAAGUUAAUAAUGAUAGUGCAACUUAUUUGUGGUACUGCCGUUUAGGUCAUAUUGGUGUAAAGCGCGUGAAGAAACUCCAUACUGAUGGGAUUUUGGAAUCACUUGAUUAUGAAUCACUUGAUGCUUGCGAACCGUGCCUCAUGGGCAAGAUGACUAAAACGCCGUUCUCCAGAACUAUGGAGAGAGCAACAGAUUUGUUGGAAAUCAUACAUACAGAUGUAUGUGGCCCGAUGAAUAUUGAGGCUCGUAGCAGGUAUCAUUAUUUUCUGACCUUCACAGAUGAUUUGAGCAGAUAUGGGUAUAUCUACUUAAUGAAACAGAAGUCUGAAACAUUUGAAAAGUUCAUAUAAUUUCAGAGUGAAGCGAAAAUCAUCGUAACAAGAAAAUAAAGUUUCUACGAUUUGAUCGUGGAGAAGAGUAUUUUAGUUACGAGUUUGGCCUUCAGUUAAAACAAUGUGAAAUAGUUUCACUACUCACGCCACCUGGAACACCACGGUGUAAUGGUGUGUCCGAAACAUCGUAACCGUACUUUAUUAGAUAUGGUGCGAUAUAUGAUGUCUCUUACCGAUCUACCACUAUCGUUUUAGGGUUAUGCAUUAGAGACAGCUACAUUCACGUUAAAUAGGGUAUCAUCUAAAUCCGUUGAGAUGACGUCUUAUGAACUGUGGUUUGGCAAGAAACCAAAGUUGUCGUGUCUUAAAGUUUGGGGUUGCGAUGCUUAUGUGAAAAAGUUUCAUCCUGAUAAGCUCAAACCCAAAUCGGAGAAAUGUGUCUUCAUAGGAUACCCAAAGGAGACAGUUGGGUACACCUUCUAUCACAGAUCCGAAGACAAGACAUUCGUUGCUUAGUAUGGAUCCUUUCUAGAGAAGGAGUUUCUCUCGAAAGAAGUGAGUGGGAGGAAAGUAGAACUUGAUGAGGUAACUGUACCUGCUCCCUUAUUGGAAAGUAGUUCAUCACAGAAAUCUGUUCCUGUGACUUCUACACCAAUUAGUGAGGAAGUUAAUGAUGAUGAUCAUGUAACUUCAGAUCAAGUUACUACCAAACCUCGUAGGUAAACCAGAGUAAGAUCCGCACCAGAGUGGUACGGUAAUCCUGUUCUGGAGGUUAUGUUACUAGACCAUGACGAACCUACGAACUAUGAAGAAGCGAUGGUGAGCCCAGAUUCCGCAAAAUGGCUUGAGGCCAUGAAAUCUGAGAUGAGAUCCAUGUAUGAGAACAAAGUGUGGACUUUGGUUGACUUGCCCGAUGAUCGGCAAGCAAUUGAGAAUAAAUGGAUCUUCAAGAGGAAGACGGAUGCUGAUAGUAGUGUUACUAUCUACAAAGCUAGAAUUGUCGCAAAAAAGGUUUUCGACAAGUUCAAAGUGUUGACUACGAUGAAAGUUUCUCACUCGUAUCUAUGCUUAAGUCUGUCCGAAUCAUGUUAGCAAUUGCCGCAUUUUAUAAAAUAUGGCAAAUGGAUAAACAAAACUGCAUUCCUUAAAGGAUUUAUUAAAGAAGAGUUGUAUAUGAUGCAACCAGAAUGUUUUGUCAAUCCUAAAGGUGCUAACAAAAUAUGCAAGCUCCAGCGAUCCAUCAAUGGACUGGUGCAAGCAUCUCGGAGUUGGAAUAUACGCUUUGAUAAGUUGAUCAAAGCAUAUAGUUGUAUACAGACUUGCGGUGAAGCCUGUAUUUACAAGAAAGUGAGUGGGAGCACUACAGCAUUUCUGAUAAGUAUAUGUGAAUGACAUAUUGUUGAUCGGAAAUAAUGUAGAAUUAUUCUGCAAAGCAUAAAGGAGUGUUUGAAAGGAGUUUUUCAAAGAUAGACCUCGGUGAAGCUGCUUACAUAUUGAGCAUCAAGAUCUAUAGAGAUAGAUGAAGACGCUUGAUAAGUUUUUCAAUGAGUACAUACCUUAACAAGAUUUUGAAGUAGUUCAAAAUAGAACAGUCAAAGAAAAGAGUUCUUGCCUGUGUUACAAGGUGUGAAAUUGAGUAAAGACUCAAAGCCCGACCACGGCAAAAGAUAGGAAGAGAAUGAAAGUCAUUCCCUAUGCCUUGGCCAUAGGUUCUAUAAAGUAUGUCAUGCUUUGUACCAGAUCUAUUGUAUACCCUACACUGAUUUUGGCAAGGGAGUACAAUAGUGAUCUAGGAGUAGAUCACUGGACAGCGGUCAAAAUUAUCCUUACUGGAAUAAGGAUAUGUUUCUCGAUUAUGGAAGUGACAAAAGGCUCGUCGUAAAAGGUUACGUCGAUGCAAGUUUUGACACUAAUCUAGAUGACUCUAAGUCUCGGUCUAGAUACAUAUUGAAAGUGGGAGCAAUUAGCUAGAGUAGCUCCAUGCAGAGCAUUGUAGACAUAGAAAUUUGCAAAAUACUUACGGAUCUGAAUGUGACAGACCCGUUGACUAAAAUUAUCUCACAAGCAAAACAUGAUCACACCUUAGUACUCUUUGGGUGUUAAUCACAUAGCGAUGUGAACUAGAUUACUGACUCUAGUAAACCCUUUGGGUGAUGGUCACAUGACGAUGUGAACCAUGGGUGUUAAUCACAUGGUGAUGUGAACUAUUCAUGUUAAAUCACAUGGCGAUGUGAACUAGAUUAUUGACUCUAGUGCAAGUGGGAGACUGAAGGAAAUAUGCCCUAGAGGCAAUAAUAAAGUUAUUAUUUAUUUCCUUAUAUCAUGAUAAAUGUUUAUUAUUCAUGCUAGAAUUGUAUUAACCGGAAACAUAAUACAUGUGUGAAUAUAUAGACAAACAGAGUGUCACUAGUAUGCCUCUACUUGACUAGCUCGUUAAUCAAAGAUGGUUAUGUUUCCUAGCCAUAGACAUAAGUUGUCAUUUGAUUAACGAGAUCACCUCAUUAGGAGAAUGACGUGAUUGACUUGACCCAUUCCGUUAGCUUAGCACCCAAUCGUUUAGUAUGUUGCUAUUGCUUUCUUCAUGACCUAUACAUGUUCCUCUGACUAUGAGAUUAUGCAACUCUCGUUUACCGGAGGAACACUUUGUGUGCUACCAAACGUCACAACGUAAAUGGGUGAUUAUAAAGGUGCUCUAUAGGUGUCUCCAAAGGUACUUGUUGGGUUGGCGUAUUUCGAGAUUAGGAUUUGUCACUCCGAUUGUCGGAGAGGUAUCUCUGGGCCCACUCGGUAAUGCACAUCACUAUAAGCCUUGCAAGCAUUGUGACUAAUGAGUUAGUUGCGGGAUGAUGUGUUACGGAACGAGUAAAGAGACUUGCCGGUAACGAGAUUGAACUAGGUAUCGAGAUACCGACGAUCGAAUCUCGGGCAAGUAACAUACUGAUGACAAAGGGAACAACGUAUGUUGUUAUGCGGUCUGACCGAUAAAGAUCUUCGUAGAAUAUGUGGGAGCCAAUAUGGGCAUCCAGGUCCCGCUAUUGGUUAUUGACCGGAGACGUGUCUCGGUCAUGUCUACAUAGUUCUCGAACCCGUAGGGUCCGCACGCUUAAAGUUACGAUGACAGUUUUAUUAUGAGUUUAUGUAUGUUGAUGUACCGAAGGAGUUCGGAGUCCCGGAUGAGAUCGGGGACAUGAUGAGGAGUCUCGAAAUGGUCGGGACGUAAAGAUCGAUAUAUUGGACGACUAUAUUCGGACUUCGGAAAGGUUCUGAGUGAUUCGGGUAUUUUUCGGAGUACCGGAGAGUUACGGGAAUACGUAUUGGGCCUUUUUGGGCCAUACGGGAAAGAAGAAAAAGGGCCUAAGGGUGGCCGCACCCCUCCCCUUGGUCUGGUCCGAAUUGGACUAGGGAAGGGGGGCGCCCCCUUCCUUCCUUCUCUUUUUCCCUUCCUCUUUUCCUAUUCCAUAUGGGAGGUGGAAUCCUACUAGGACUAGGGAGUCCUAGUAGGACUCCACACUUGGUGCGCCCCUCCUAGGGCCGGCCUCCUCCUCCCUUGCUCCUUUAUAUACGGGGGCAGGGGGGCACCCCAGAGACACAACAAUUGAUCCUUGAGAUCUUUUAGCCGUGUGCGGUGCCCCCCUCCACCAAAUUACACCUCGAUAAUAUCAUUGCGGAGCUUAGGCAAAGCCCUGCGUCGGUAGAACAUCAUCAUCGUCACCACGCCGUCGUGCUGACGAAACUCUCCCUCAACACUCGGCUGGAUCGGAGUUCGAGGGACGUCAUCGAGCUGAACGUGUGCAGAACUCGGAGGUGCCAUGCGUUCGGUACUUGAUCGGUCGGAUCGUGAAGACGUACGACUACAUCAACCGCGUUGUGAUAACGCUUCCGCUGUCGGUCUACGAGGGUACGUGGACAACACUCUCCCCUCUCGUUGCUAUGCAUCACCAUGAUCUUGCGUGUGCGUAGGAAUUUUUUUGAAAUUACUACGUUCCCCAACACCUGGCACGAGUCCUGCUCAAACGACUCAUCGACAUAACUUACCAGUUACCACAGCUAUUAGAGUUUAAAGUAAAGGAAUUUUGGUGCUUGGUCAAAUAAUGUGACCUAACACAAACGGUGUCCCAUUGCCAGGGACUCGGCUAUUCGAAUAGUUUGAACACACACUCUGUAGAGGUCACACAGUUUACCCACACCAUAGACUCUUUGUCUAACUAUUCUCAUUCAUAGCAUGGCACUCUAACUAUGCCUCCGACCUCCCGCGGGCUUGCCCUGGCAGAGAGAAUCUGGGUCCUUUCCACCCCGUGUUGCACCACUUGUAUUCCCUUGGGAAUCUUUUCUCUUAAGCUCAUCCACAGACCCUGGCUCUCUUGACUGAAUGGCAACUUCCAAGCCAGAGGAAGUCUACACAUUCCAUCUUCCCUCUUCGGAAACACACGAAAGAAACAUAACUACAAACGUAAUAAAGCCCUCCCAUUCGGACAGAUGUGCUUGUAAUGAGGAUGUUCGGCUUCGUGGCAGUUGGAUUGACCAGCUAUUUAAAGUUGGGUUAACAAGGAAAGUAAAACCGUGACUUUGUAAGCUACUGAAAUCCACAACUUGUUAUCCUACUAGGGUGAAGUAUUCACGAGGAUUCAUCAUCCUAAGUAAAGUCUUUCCCCGAGAUUCUUCGUGAACGUUGCUACCUAUUUUGCUUAUGAUUCAUGUUGGCAAAAUAAUUACCGGUUAUGAGUCAUAGUUAAACUUCUAUUCUACUAGGACCAAAUCAAGGCAUCCUUUAUAGUGACUCACUAUGCUAUUUCAACCACAACAAACUUAACAUAAGCAAAGGGAAGCAACAAACAACAUUGAAAGAAAAGUAAUGUUGGAAAAGAAAUGUAAGUUGAACCCAUGGCCUUGCAAUGCCAUCAAGCAAAUGGAGGUGGUGGCUUGCCAUGCUCAAAUGGAGUAGCAAAGCAUUCUUUGUCUUCACCUCCUGGAUUAUUUCCUUCUGGAAAUAAUUUAAAAAGCAAAAUACAAUAAAGCAAAUAAGUCAAAAGUGUGUCUAGCAGCAUCUAGACAAGUCAAAUAAAUCUCAAAUUAUUCCCACAGAAGGAGAAUAAUAUAAGAAAAGUAAUGCAAAAAGAAUAAACUCAUUUGGAGUUAUGGUUUAAGAGAUAUUACUCAUCACAGCUUAGUCAACAGAAUAUAAGUAAAACAAAAAAUAGCCUGAAAUAGAAAAUCCACCAAGCGGCCACGUCGAAGGCGUAUUUCAGAAAUACGCCCCCACUUACGUACCAGUUCGGCAGGGGUUGUAUCACUGACGGGUGGGGCCAUCCUGUCAGUUUUCUUUUUUAAACACCCGGCCGAGGUGUGGUGUUCUAGCGAGGUCUCACCGGCGACUACAGAGCGCUAGGGCUCGAACGAGUGGGAUCACCUUUUGAGAGGUAUACGCAUUUAUUGUGAUUUGUUAGAAUACUCUAUGUGCUUCACUUAUAUCUUUUGAGCUAGGCAGUUGCUCUGGUGCUUCAUUAUAUCUUUUAGAGCACCGUGGUGGUUAUAUUUUAUAGAAAUGAUUGCACUCUCAUGCUUCACUUAAAUCUUUUUGAGAGUCCAUAUAUAGGAAGUGGUAAUGUGCACGUGUUAUAAGACUAGUCCGAGAAGGAUAGGUAUUCAAGGGGGAUACAAUAAAAACUUUCAUGUAGAUCACUAAAUAUGAAAUGUAUAAUUUAAUGAUAUUGAUGUUGUAAUAUGAAAGGAUAUUAGUUCAUGAUCAUUGGUUAGUAGAAAUAUCAGUAUUAAAACUUGUUAUUAACUUCUCAAAUAAGUGUUGGUCAUGGCAUGGUGGCCAGGUUUGAGCAUUUGUAUUUCUGAUUGAAAUCCUUGAGUGCUAUUAUAAUCGGAUGCGCGCGAUGGUUAACUCCUACCAACAAAUUCCCUAGGGGCAUAUGUGAGUAGUACUUUGCUUAGAAGGAUAAUAGGAGUUCACAAUAAGUAUGUCAGUUCUUUAUGACUAAUGUGAGUCCAUGGAUUAUAUGCACUCCUACCUUUCCGCAAUUUGCUAGGCUCUGCUGUACCGUGCAUUGCCCUUUCUCACCUCGAGAGUUGGUGCACACUUCGCUGGUGCAUCCAAACCCCAUGGUAUGAUACGCUCUAUCAUACAUAAGCCUCCUUAUAUCUUCUUCGAAACAGCCGCCAUACCUACCUAUUAUGGCAUUUUCACAACCAUUCCGAGAUAUAUUGCCAUGCAACUUCCACUGUUCCAUUUUCAUAACAUGUGUGUUCAACGUCAUAUUGCUUUGCAUGAUCAUAUAAAGUUGGCAUGAUAUUUGUGGCAUUGUCACCGUUCAUCAUGAUUAUACAUGUUACGCUAGAUCAUUGCACAUCCUGGUACACUAUCAGAGGCAUUAAUAUAGAGUCAUAUUGUUCAAGUUAUCGAGUUGUAUGUAAAUACAAGUGUGAUGAUAAUCAUUAUUAGAGCAUUGUCCCAGUUGAGGAAACGAUGAUGGAGACUAUGAUUCCCGCACAAGUCGGGAUGAGACUCCGGACGAAAAAAAAGAGAGAAAAGAGAGAAGGGGCAAUGUUACUAUCCUUUUUUUUUGCAAGGUAAUGCUACUAUCCUUUUGAACACUUGUGCUUUAGAGUAGCACCAUGUUCUUCACAUAGAGAGUCUCCUGAGUUAUCACUUUCAUAUACUAGUCGUAUUUUUUCAUUAUAGAAUUUGACUUGCAUAUUCUGAUGAUGGGUUUCCUCAAAUGGCCGAGGCCUUCAUGAUCAAGCAAGUUGGAUGCACAUCCACUUAGUUUUCAUUGAGCUUUCAUACACUUAUAGCUCUUAGUUCAUCUAUUGCAUGGCAAUCCCUACUCCUCGCAUUGACAUCGAUUGAUGGGCAUGUCCAUAGCCCGUUGAUUAGCCGCGUCGAUGCGAGACUUUCUUCCUUUUCAACUUUCCUUAUUAAUCUUUAUCACCGCAUUCUAUUCAACUUAUAGUGUUAUAUCCAUGGCUCACGUUCAUGUAUUGCAUAGGAUUGAAAAUGCUGAAGCGCAUUAGAAGUACGAUCCAUUUGCCUUGUUUGACACCGGGGUGCUCAUGAUUUAUAUUUAUGCAGUGAAGGUGGGGUCAUGCCAUGCUAACAUAAUAAAAUGAGUGGGGAAAGCAUUCAUUGAGGAUUGUAUAUUUUAAAAGGUUAAUGAUUAUGUUUCUUAUAUUCAUGGAUAUUAUUAUGUUGACAUUGUUACUUCAUCGUUUCUCAAUAAUUAUACCGUAAAAAUAUUACAUGAUACACAUGUUAGGUAGCAUUUCACAUCAAAAAUUCUUUUUUUAUCAUUUACCUACUCGAGGACGAGAAGGAAUUAAGCUUGAGGAUGCUAAUACGUCUUCAACGUAUCUAUAAUUUUUGAUUGUUAUAUUAUCAAUCUUGGAUGCUUUAUAUGCUUUGUAUGCUAUUUUAUAUCUUUUUGGGACUAACGUAUUAUUUUGAAUAUUUUUUGAAUUGUUUGGAUUGCUUACCACAUGUGUCAUGUGGUUUGGGACUAACCUAUUAACCCAAUGCCAGUGCCAGUUACUGUUUUUUUGCUUGUUUUUGGCUUUUUAGAAAACCAAUACCAAACGAAGUCCAAACACAAUGAAACUUUACGGUGAUUUUUUCUGGACAAGAAGGGACCCUAAAAGGUUCGGGUGGAGGCUAGAAGAUCUACGGGAGAGCCACAAGCUCACAGGGUGCGCCCCCUGAGCUCAUGGGCCGCACGCAGCUCCAUUUGACCUAAUUUCACCUCCAUAAAUUCACAUAUAUUCCCAAACCAAUAGAGAGCCACCCGAAAUACUUUUUCCGCCGCCCAAGCUUCUAUUUUUCCGUGAGCCCAUAUGGAGGCCUUUUCCGGUACUCUGUCGAAGGGGGAAUCGAUCACAGAGCGCUUCUACAUCAUGCUUGCUGUCUUACAAUGAUGCAUGAGUAGUUCACGACAGACCUACGUGUCCAUAACUAGUAGCUAGAUGGCUUCUUAUCUCUCUUUGAUCUUCAAUACAAUGUUGUCCUCGAUCUUCUUGGAGUUCUUGUAAGUGCAUCUAGUGCCACCCCUAGUUGGUUUUGGAGUAUUGCCGACAAACUUGGUUGAGGGACUAAUGUGUUUGUGAGAAUUGCAGGAUAACACAGGUAGUAGUCCCUCAUUGAUUCGGUUUACCUACCAGAGAUGACCCCUAAAAAUGUGUGAAGACAUUGAAGACAAUGGUGGUCUGUGAAGAUAUUCACAUUGAAGACUAUGACAUGAGAAGACAUCGCAUGAAGACUAUGGAGUGCGAAGACAUAGUUGUUUCGUAGUUUCCUUUUCUUCUUUGUUGAGUCAUAGGAACCGCCGUACUGUUAAGUGGGGUCCAAGUGAACAAAGUCCGAGUGACUGAUGUGAUGCUCAACCAAAUCCUAUGUCUUCGAGCGAAGACAAUGAGUGCAAAUCUUAUCCAGAGUUGGAUGAGUCAGCUUUACUUAUAGCACAAGUCAAGCUGCCGCGUGUGUUUGAAAUCUGACUGUUGGACACGUGUCAGUUCCUUAGUGGCCCAGGGUCAUUUUGGACAAAUUAGGUCGGGUUGCCUCCUGGCUAUAAAUAGCCCACCCCCUACACCAUAAAUUGGUGGCUGCUCAUAGUUAGUGCACGGCUUUUGUCGUUUGAGAGCAACCCACCUCCGAAGCAUUUGAGAGAGAGAUCCUUGCGAGGACAAAGCCCAAAACACCCAGAGCCAAAGAGUGUUAGGCAUCACUGAAGUCUUUCUGUCCGCGUGAUCUGAAGACUUGUUACACUUGAGGACUGUGAAUCCUCCAGCCGGUUAGGCGUCGCGUUCUGAGCAUCCAAGAGUCAUUGUGGAUUGCCGGUGAACGAAAUCUAUGAAGGUUUGGAAGUCUACCUUGAAGACUUACCAGAGUGAUUGGGAGAGGACUAAGUGUCCUUAACUCAAGGGGAAUAAGGUGAAGACGCUUUCUUCUGAGUUAAAUCUCAGCCUCCCUAACCAGACGUACAGUUGUCACGGCAACUGGAACUGGUCCAACAAAUCCCUGUCCUCCCCAAGCAACUGGUUCUAUCUCUUAUCUCUCUUUACUUACAGUUUGUCUUCGUGAAGUCAUUACCUGCUUGCAUGAUCUGAUUGUCUUCACUGUGUGAAGACUGCUGUUGUUUGGCUUCAUACUAUCUUCCAUCCUGAUCCAUACUACCUAACUGCUGAUAGUCUUCGUGCUUUCACUUCAUUGCUUACUUGACUAUGGCUUGUCUAGUGUAGUCUACCUUCCGCUGCAUAUCAAUAGGUUCAUUUUUAUUGUUUGUCUUCAAAGCCCCUGUGUUUUGAAGACUUUCAUAAAAAUUGCCUAUUCACGCCCCCCCCCCUCUAGUCGAUAACUAGCACUUUCAGUUCUAUCCGAUGUAAUCUUCUUUUUGUUGGGGAACGUAGCAGAAAUUCAAAAUUUUCUACGCAUCACCAAGAUCAAUCUAUGGAGUACUCUAGCAAAGAAGGGAAGGAGAGUGGAUCUACAUACCCUUGUAGAUCGCGAUGCGGAAGCGUUGCAAGAACGCGGAUGAGGGAGUCGUACUCGUAGCGAUUCAGAUCGCGGUUGAUUCCGAUCUAAGCACCGAAGAACGGUGCCUCCGCGUUCAACACACGUGCAGCCCGGUGACGUCUCCCACGCCUUGAUCCAGCAAGGAGAGAGGGAGAGGUUGGGGAAGACUCCAUCCAGCAGCAGCACGACGGCGUGGUGGUGAUGGAGGAGCGUGGCAAUCCCGCAGGGCUUCGCCAAGCACCGCGGGAGAGGAGGAGGAGGGAGAGGGGUAGGGCUGCGCCAAAAGGAGACUUUCUCGUGUCGUUAUGGCAGCCCAAACCUCAACUAUAUAUAGGGGGGGAGGGGGCUGCGCCCCCCUCUAGGGUUCCCACCCCCAAGAGGAGGCGGCCAGCCCUAGAUCCCAUCAAGGGGGGGCGGCCAAGGGGAGGAGAGGGGGGGCGCCCCACUAGAUGGGCCCUAAGGCCCAUCUGGACCUAGGGUUUGCCCCCUCCCACUCUCCCAUGCGCCUUGGGCCUUGGUGGGGGGGCGCACCAGCCCACCUGGGGCUGGUCCCCUCCCACACUUGGCCCACGCAGCCUUCUGGGGCUGGUGGCCCCACUUGGUGGACCCCCGGGACCCUCCCGAUGGUCCCGGUACAUUACCGAUAACACCCGAAACUUUUCCGGUGACCAAAACAGGACUUCCCAUAUAUAAAUCUUUACCUCCGGACCAUUCCGGAACUCCUCGUGACGUCCGGGAUCUCAUCCGGGAUUUCGAACAACAUUCGGUAACCACGUACAUACUCUCCAUAUAACCCUAGCGUCAUCGAACCUUAAGCGUGUAGACCCUACGGGUUCGGGAACCAUGCAGACAUGACCGAGACGUUCUCCGGUCAAUAACCAACAGCGGGAUCUGGAUACCCAUGUUGGCUCCCACAUGUUCCACGAUGAUCUCAUCGGAUGAACCACGAUGUCGGGGAUUCAAUCAAUCCCGUAUUCAAUUCCCUUUGUCUAUCGAUAUGUUACUUGCCCGAGAUUCGAUCGUCGGUAUCCCUAUACCUUGUUCAAUCUCGUUACCGGCAAGUCUCUUUACUCGUUCCGUAACUCACAUCAUCCCGUGAUCAACUCCUUGGUCACAUUGUGCACAUUAUGAUGAUGUCCUACCGAGUGGGCCCAGAGAUACCUCUCCGUUUACACGGAGUGACAAAUCCCAGUCUCGAUUCGUGCCAACCCAACAGAUACUUUCGGAGAUACCUGUAGUGCACCUUUAUAGUCACCCAGUUACGUUGUGACGUUUGGUACACCCAAAGCAUUCCUACGGUAUCCGGGAGUUGCACAAUCUCAUGGUCUAAGGAAAUGAUACUUGACAUUAGAAAAGCUCUGAGCAAACGAACUACACGAUCUUGUGCUAGGCUUAGGAUUGGGUCUUGUCCAUCACAUCAUUCUCCUAAUGAUGUGAUCCCGUUAUCAACGACAUCCAAUGUCCAUGGUCAGGAAACCGUAACCAUCUAUUGAUCAACGAGCUAGUCAACUAGAGGCUUACUAGGGACAUGGUGUUGUCUAUGUAUCCACACAUGUAUCUGAGUUUCCUAUCAAUACAAUUCUAGCAUGGAUAAUAAACGAUUAUCAUGAACAAGGAAAUAUAAUAAUAACCUAUUUAUUAUUGCCUCUAGGGCAUAUUUCCAACACUUUUGUGGUGUGUUUGUUGGGAUCCGAUGAAUUGUGGGUUUAUGAUCAGAUUAUUCAUUGAAAGUAGUUGAGUCUUGUCUGAAUUUUAUUAUGCAUGAUUGUUAUAGCUUUGUAUUUCCCUCCGAUCUAUCUGUUUGGUUUGCCAACUAGAUUGAUUUAUCUUCAGUGGCAUACGUGCUUUGUAAUGGGUUCAAUCUUGCGGUGUCCUCACACAAUGAUAGAAGGGGAAGCGAGACACGUAUAAUAUUGUUGCCAUUAAGUAUAAAAUUAUGGGUGUAAUCAUAUUGCUUGAGUUUACUUUGUCUACAUCAUGUCAUCUUGCUUUAGGCGUUACUCUGUUCGUCAUGAACUUAAUACCACAGAUGCAUGCUAGAUAACGGUCGAUUAGUGGAAUAAUAGUAGUAGCUGUAGACAUGAGACGGUCUACUUGUCACGGACAUGAUGACUAUAUACAUGAUCAUUGCCAUGAAUACAUCAUAACUAUGUGUUUUUCUAUCAAUUACCCAACAGUAAUUUGUUUACCCACCAUAUGCUAUGUGUUCGAGAGAGAAGCCUCUAGUGAAAACUAUGGGCCCCGGGUCUACUUUUAUCAUAUUAUUAAAACCAAAAAUACCUUGCUGCAAUUUUACACUUUUUAUUUUACUUUUAUUUUUAUCUAUGUAUCACUAUCAGAAUUAAUCCUUGCAAAUAACGAGUUCAAGGGGAAUGACAACCCUCUUGCCCGCGUUGGGUGCAAGUAUUUGCUUUUCUCUGUGUAGGUGCUGCAGAAGGGAAUUAGUGUGGUUCUUCUAUUGGUUCAAUAACUUUGGUUCUCACUGAGGGAAAUACUUAUCUCUGUUGUACUGCUUCACCCAUCCUCUUCGGGGGAAAUCCCAACACAGUUUACAAGUAGCACUACCCCUCCCUCCUCCUCCAUAGAUGCUUGGUGAAGCCCUGCCUGAGCUCCACCGUAAAAUCCACCACCACGCCAUCGUGUUGGCCUUGAUCCCAUCCACCUAUCCAUGUCGCUUGCUGGAUCAAGAAGGAGACGUCACCGAGCGAUACGUGUGCAUAUCUCAGAGGUGCCGUCCGUGUGGUACUCGAUCGGAUUGGAUCACGAAGAGAGUACGACUACGCCAACCACAUUCAUUAGAAUGUUUUCGUUUUAGGUCUACAAGGGUUUGUAAACUUUUCCCCCUCGUUGCUAGCAUCUAGUUGAUUAGAUCUUGGAUGUUUUCAUUGUCUCGUAGGAAAAAAAUUGUUUUCCAUGGAACGAUUCCCAUCACUGACCUGCUUUAAAGAAGUGGGUAGGAGCUCAGGCGACCCGGGCUCAGCAGGUGGCCAGGCGGGAGGUCCCUAAGAGGUGCAUCCAAGAAUGCAACAACCUCCAAGUAGAGAAGGCGUCCCUAGCCGAGAGGAAGAGACAACAAGAGCUGGAGCUGGAGGAAGUUAAGUCUCGCCUAGCUGAUGCCGAGAGUGACGCGGCAGGCCCUUGAGAUCAUAGCCAGUGAGUCUGUCUGUGCUUCAACUCAUAAUCUAGGUGGAAAUUUUAUUUGCCGAUCUGUCAUAGAAAUUCAUUAUUUCCAGCAUCUUUUCCCGAGCCAGUGCUGUUGGAGUGUCACUUAGGAAGAAACUGCAGCAGCUUGGAGAGUUGAACAAGAUCGCGAGGCCGACAAUGGAGGGUAUUUUCAAGGCCCUAUGGCCUGGAGAAAGGUUGUCGGAAAACCAGUUUGACCUCCCGCCGCCUCCCGGAGGGGCAUGCUCGGAUUGCCCUGUGAAAGGCCUUAGUGGCCUGAGAAGAUGCUCGUCAAGCUUGGGCCAUGCUCCAGACCCACUAUCCGGGCUUGAACAUCUGUCCUAUUGCCCUAGUUGGUCCAAAAGGACCUGUCGGUAAGGAGAUUAUGCCUAAUGGCAAUUUCCAACGGAUCAUGCCCUAUACUAGGAUGUCCGAGCAGGAUUGUCGUUUGGAAAAUAUUAUUGAAUAGGCUAGGAGCGAUUACCCUGGAAUGUCAAGGAUGAAAAGUUGUAUAAAAACUUCACGAAUUUCGCUCUAGCCAUGUUUAUUUUUUUCUAUACCGACAACAUGAUAGGUUUGGUCCGACCUGUUUAGCAUACGCUUGCAUUAACCAGCCUUUGGCUUCAACCUCCACAACCAAACGGGGAGGCCUUAUAAUUGAUGUUAACGCAAGGAGUAGGGAUCGCCAUGCAACUAGGAUGCAAACAUAUCUAUGAAUAUAUGAAAUCUCUCGCAAGGAUUAAGUAGGGGUGUGUCCAACUUGUUUGCUCAUGAAGACCUCGAGCAUUUGAUAAAGCUCAUCAUCGGGAUGUACAAGGAAAGUUCUACAACAUAAAUUCCCCAAGCUAGUAUAAAACAUGAAGCUCAUGAAACUUUAAUUAGAUGCUAAUUAUCCAGACCAACAAAAGUUCUUUAGUAAGAGUCUCUAAGAAAUAUAUUUCAUCGAAACUGUCCUACUCAGCUCGAGUGAACAGUUAAAUCCAAAAAAAAUUGAAACAAAAUUUCAAAAAAAUCUAAAUUUUUUUGGUGAUAAAUGUUUUCAAUGCUUGCAAAGUUUCAUCAUGUAAUUAUAUUUGUGGAAGUCAUGCAAAAAUAAUAUCGAUGCUUCAAAAAAGUUAUUUUCGGAGUGCUGAAUUUGUUUAUUGCCGUGACGAAGAUGAAUGCCAGUCUAUGAUGAAACUUUGCAAGGAUAUAUAACAUGUGUCAAAUUAAGCCACACACAAAAAAUCAGAAAUUUUUGAAUUCUUUCUAAAUAUUUUCAGAUUUUAUUGCUCACCCGAGCUCAUAUGAGCUCGAGCUCAGUUAAUCCGUGUCCAUGUUUCAUCCUAUUCUACUAGCAAAAACCAAUGGAGCAGAUGGUAGUGACGUGGAAAAGAAACCAUAAUAAUUUUGUAGUGAUAUAUAAUUAAAGAAACAGAAAUUUGCAAUUGCAAAUUAGGGAAUCUUAAUGUCAAAUACUGAAUUCUUCCACCCACUAGCUGUGAGACAUAUCCAUUGCAGUGCCAAAUAAAGAAACUUUUCCAUGAAUUAAUAACAGCAAGACAAUGGUCCGCGUGUUGUAUAUAAUAAAUAUUACACAGGUUUUGCAUAUGUGUAGCCGGUGCAUAUAGACCUAUGAGGAAUUACGUAUGCAUGCUCAAGAACCUAUGUUCGUACAUACAUACACAAAUCAUAUAGAACAAAAGGUAUGCUCCGGUCCGAAAGCAGAGUCGUGCAGCAGAGUUGUGGACAAAAGUGAAGUUCACAAAAGACCUUCAUACGAGAUAGGCCAUUGUUUCAACUCGUAGUUUAGGCCUUGCCGGACUCCUCGCAACCCGGUGGCCUGAAGGCGAUGAAGCUGACGCACUGCACCUGGCGCAGGUUGUCGAAGCCGAUGACACGGACAUAGGCGUCAGGGUACUCCUUCUUGACCUCCUCCACCUCGUUGAGCACCUGUGUGGCGUCGGUGCACCCAAACAUGGGCAGCUUCCACAUUGUCCAGUAUCGACCGUCGUAGUACCCGGGGGAGCUGUUGUGCUCACGGAAGACGAAGCCAACCUUGCUGAACUCGAGGCAGGGCACCCACUUGGAGCGGAUCAG